GAUGAAGAACGUAGCGAAAUGGGAUAAGUAAUGUGAAUUGCAGAAUUCAGUGAAUCAUCGAAUCUUUGAACGCACCUUGCGCCCUUUGGCCAUUCCGAAGGGCAUGCCUGUUUGAGUAUCAUGAACACCUCAACUCUUCAUGGUUUUCCGUGAUGAGCUUGGACUUUGGGGGUCUUGCUGGCCUAUGGUCAGCUCCUCUAAAAUAAAUCAGCUUGCCAGUGUUUGGUGGGUAUCACAGGUGUGAUAACUAUCUACGCUUGUGGUUUUCCACCAGGUAACCUUCAGCAGUGGAGGUUCGCUGGAGCUCACAGAUGUGUCUCUCCUCAGUGAGGACAGCUCUUUGAAUGUUUGAUCUCAAAUCAGGCAGGACUACCCGCUGAACUUAAGCAUAUCAAUAAGCGGAGGA
rnacentral:misc_RNA from 1 species